rnacentral:lncRNA from 1 species
ACAUUUUAUAUUGGCAAAUUUCCAAUGAAGUUAUUUACAUAAAGUUAUUGGCAAAUAAAAAUAGAAAAUGACAUCAUAGUCAUGUCUGGCAAAUUUCCAACAUAUAUUAUCAACUACUAUUCUAUACAAAGAAAGAUAACUCUAAUUGAAAAUUAAUUGCUAUUGCACAAUAUUGUGCAAUUAGAUAUUUCUUGCUAUUGUGCAAUACUGUGCAAUUGAAAAUUUUCUUGCUAUUGCACAAUACUUGAUAUGGAAUCCUGAUUUGGACCAACUUGAAAACUGGGCCCAUAAUCAAAAAUCAAAGUACAUAUUUAGAUAAAGCAUAUUAAUAAGCCCAAGAAUUUAAUUUUUGUUAAAAUCAAACUAAGUUUAAUUUUGGACCCUUUGGACCUUAAUGUAGACCAAUUUGAAAACGGGACCAAAAAUUAAGAAUCUACAUACAUAGUUAGAUUCGGCAUAUCAAAGAACCCCAAUUAUUCAAUUUUUGAUGAAAUCACACAAAGUUCAAUUUUAGACCCUUUGGGCCCCUUAUUCCUAAACUGUUGGGACCAAAACUCCCAAAAUCAAACCCAACCUUCCUUUUAUGGUCAUAAACCUUGUGUUUAAAUUUCAUAGAUUUCUAUUUACUUAUACUAAAGUUAUGGUGCAAAAACCAAGAAUAAUGCUUAUUUGGGCCCUUUUUUGGCCCUUAAUUCCUAAACUGUUGGAACCAAAACUCCCAAAAUCAAUCCCAACCUUCCUUUUGUGGUCAUAAACCUUGUGUCAAAAUUUCAUAGAUUUCUAUUAACUUAAACUAACUAAAGUUAUAGUGCGAAAACCAAGAAAAUGCUUAUUUGGGCCCUUUUUUGGCCCCUAAUUCCUAAAAUGUUGGGACCAAAACUCCCAAAAUCAAUACCAACCUUCCUUUUGUGGUCAUAAACCUUGUGAUAAAAUUUCAUAGAUUUCCAUUCACUUUUACUAAAGUUAGAGUGCGAAAACUAAAAGUAUUCGGACGCAGGACGACGACGACGACGACGACGCCAACGUGAUAGCAAUAUACGACGAAAAUUUUUUCAAAUUUUGCGGUCGUAUAAAAAUCAAAGUACAUAUUUAGAUAAAGCAUAUCAAAUAAGUCCAAGAAUUUAAUUUUUGUUAAAAUCAAACUUAGUUUAAUUUUGGACCCUUUGGACCUUAAUGUAGA